ensembl:lncRNA
AAAAAAAAAGUCCUCUGAUCCGAUGUCUGCCUCUCAGCUGGCCGAGAAGGCCAGCAGGGCUGGCUCCGGCCCUGGCCGGCAGCGCGGCCCCGACCCCCGGGAGCCCCUAGUGUCCAGGGCGCAGCCCCCAUUGCGCGUUCCUGGCGCUGCUCACUGGGCCAGGCAGAGAGCGCCCAGUCCAAAAUACAGGUCAGUGUAAAGUGUAGCUGACAGAAUGAAGACUGGUAAAUUCUGAAUUUUUCCAUAAUGCAUCAGAGAUGCAGCAGAACUAAAUUUCUUCUUGGAGAUGUUGAAAAACCAACGACUGGGAUGCCCCUAGCAGGAAGAAGUUUGAACAUGGCCCUCUCUGCCCCAGACUCAAGUCAUACAUCCACUCCUACAGUCCUGAGUGGGUGGACACCCGUGGGGUCUGUUACACGCAGCUUCUUGCUUUGUGCCUACAUUUUUGGUCAAAAAAUUUUCCCUCCCAUCUCACGAAGCCCCCAGAACACUUUUCAUCCAAAAUAUUUUUUAAGCCUGAAAGAUGACCCUAAGCCAAAUUCAGAUUUGUUCCUAAGUCAUUUCACUAGAAAAGAGCAAAAUGUCAAAGUCUUCUGCGUUGGCAUAAAGGUAGCAUGUGGAGUCUUAGUACCCAGGUCUUGUGAGUUCUGGGGGUGCCCAGGGGGUCGGGGGAGGGGGCUGCAGCUGGUGUCCAUAGGGCGGGUGUUAGCCAAGAAUGAGCUUCCCAAAUCCUCCCCCAGGAGGCUGGCCAGUUAGGAAACUGAGAGAAGCAUAGUUCUUUCCGAAAGUUACAAUAAGAAAAAAAUAUUGUGAGGGGUGUGUGUGUGUGUGUGUGUGUGUGUGUGUGUGUGUGUGUGUAAAAGACCUGGCUCAGACUGACAGGAAGACCCUGGUCUCUGGAGGAGAGGAGACAAGUGGAAGAUACAGGAAUGAGGAAGUGAUAGAAGUUUAAAACAAGACGAUCUCCCAUUCUCUCCCGGGUCUCCCUCAGAGGUGAAGGCAAAUCACCCUGAUCCAACCUGUGCUUCCAGGGCCAAGGGCCGCCCAGCUGAUCCAAAGGCAGCUAAGGUCUGUCUUUUCCAGUCUGUUUGGCCCUAACCUUGCCAGAGCCUCCAGACCUCGGAGAUCAAACCAAAUUGGCUGCUGGAAUUUAAGAGGUUUCAGCCCUGGAGCAAGGAGGAGGGGACAAUCUCCCCUCCCCCCAACCCCCUUUAACUCCCAAUUCAAGAGACACCACAAGCCACAUUUGAGUGUCAUCCCCAGUCGUGGAUUAUAGGUAUAGCUCAUUCUUUCUUCCUAUUUCUCAGAAGUAAAAACCUUAAAAAAUUAGUCCCAAACUUAGAGUGCCGGAGUCCUUGAAAUAGUUCCUAAUGAUAAAACCUGCCUUCAUUUUCAGUACCUAUCAGAUUGUGAAAAAUGCAGGGGUAACGUUGGAUUCCCCAUUUCCCUCCAUUCCUUUGUAACAAAAAUCUAGGGGGUGGUGGUGGGGAGGCAGGAGGAGUGGAGUCCGUUCGUGGCUCUCCUGGGUUCUGCACCACCACCACACGCUAGAUUCCCUUUUGGUGACCCGGUACCAGAAGUCUGCAUGGAACCAAAACCCGGAGGCGGGCUCGAGGAGGAGACAGAACUAACCUCAUCACAACUCAACAAAGUGAACAACUGCAAGACAGACACCCUUGGUUGGACAACGUGCGCUUUAGGAAUUCCCAAGAGCAUAUAACUUGGGGAAUGAUAGAAGCUUCUUGCCUACCCGCCACAGCCUAAAGAAAAGGAAGCCAUGAGAAGAGCCGGCCGGGAUCUGUUGGAGGUGGGGGGUCUAGGGAGCAGAGCUGUGAGCUCUAUCAGGGGUGGCCUGGGGAGAGGAUGC